UACAGAGGUCUCAAGCGUUGUUCGGAUUCAUUGGGCGUAAAGGGUGUGUAGGUGGCGCCGUAAGUCGGGUGUGAAAUUUCGGAGCUUAACUCCGAAACUGCAUUCGAUACUGCGGUGCUUGAGGACUGGAGAGGAGACUGGAAUUCGAUGGUGUAGCAGUGAAAUGCGUAGAGAUCAUGAGGAAGACCAGUGGCGAAGGCGGGUCUCUGGACAGUUCCUGACACUGAGACGCGAAGGCCAGGGGAGGCAAACGGG
rnacentral:rRNA from 1 species